UGCUAGCUGGACAAGCCCUAGAAUGCUAUAAGCCAACCUUGAUAGGUGAUUCUGGUCACAGUUCAGAAUCUUGAAAGAAAUACAGACUGUAAACAUCAGUCUCAAGACGUUUCAGUUGGGAACAAGGACUCUAUUGACAGUUGGGGACUACAAGCCAUGUGCAUUACACUCUGGCAUAAAAUUUGUCUACAUUUUCCCCAUGUCUUGAGACUUUGUGGAGACUGAGAUUAAGGGUGGCUGAUUAAUUAAUCAGUCAAGAGGAAUUUCAAAGCACACCAAAGUUCAGGCUAUGAUAUAAGUGCUACUGGCUGCAUUUAGUCAGCUCUACAGUGAGAAUCAAGAGCAAAAGGUAAAGUUCAAUGUUGGAAAAGUCUAGAGCAUAAUACUCAUCAGUGGAUUCUGUAGCUCAAUGUGCUAUUAGGAGGUGGAGCCUGGAUAGAGGUGCUUCACUGGGAUGAGAGCUGGAAGGGUGUAUUCUUUCCUUAUCUCCUCCCCUCUCUCUGCUUUUUGGCUGCUAUGCAUUGAACACGUUUUCUUCUGUCAUCCUGUUUCUGCCCUGGAGCUAAUCGACCAUGGAUUGAAACUAGUGAAUUGAAAGCUACUAAGGGAAAGGAGACCAGCCAAUAUUAAACUAGAGAAUGAGGAAAGAAAAGAGAAGUAGAUCAUUCAAAAAUCAGAAAAAGAAGCUGAUGAACUUUGAUGACAACUAUAGGGUGCUGAGUAACUGAAUGAGUAAACGAAGGCUGUGCGAAUGCAUGAACUUUAUAAAGUGUCAGUCUGCAAGGGCUUCCCAGAAAUGUACAUGAUUUCUGCCACACCCAUAUUCUUGCAAACUGUGGUUAGAGCUGACAGUGGACAAGGCCAGCAUCGCACAUUGGUGGAGAAGUCUCCUGCUAAUGCAGGUGGUGAGAAUUAGCCCAAUUCAGUACAAUGUCACAUGAAAAUCUGCUUUUACAACUUUGGGAGGAGGUUGAAAGGGGUCAUCAAGUGACUCGGCUACCAAUGAUGACUUGGAUCAUGUAAGCCAAAGAAGAUAGUAUGAUAUGACAGAUAGAGAAGCACAGAAUGAAGACCUUGAUUUUGAUGAGGAAGAAAAUGAGGAGGAAAUUUGAACAUGCAGAGAGAUAGCAAGGCCCAUGAACACAGAGGGAUGACCACAUGCAAGAAGUUGGCCAUCUGCAAGCUGAAGACAGAGGCCCCAAAGGAAACCAAAUCUACAAAUAUUUUGUUGGAUGUCUUGCCUCCACACUGUGAGGAAUAAAAUUCCUAUUGUUUGA